rnacentral:lncRNA from 1 species
AUUUCCGCCGGCGCGAAACGAGCGUAGCUUCCUUGUCGUGUGGCCUCAGUCCUUCGCCGUCCCUCGCCGUCCUUCGCCAUCGCACGCCACCGCACCCCAUCUCUCGAAAUCUGCAGACAUCUUGAUUUUUCCCACGCUGUCUGUCAGGUCUCCGCCGCCACUCGACGCCAGGGCGCCGGGCCUUGUGGGCUGUGCUGCACCUCGGACGGCUUCGCACCAGCCAGCGCCCUCUCUCUCCUGCAGCACUCUGAUCUGCACCCCCUGAGGGGCUUCCACUGUCCGCGGGGUGAGAAUGCCCCUGGGAGUGUCACAUGACUGCCGCCCCAUGUGUGUGAGAGGCGUCCUCUGGGAGAGCAUGGAUCCUGAGGUCCCAGGAUUGUCAGCUGACCUCUGUCCUGUGUGCCCAGUGGCCCCAGGUGACGUGUCUUCAAGAAGAGGCUGAGCUGCGGUGCUUGUAAGGCAGGGUCUCAUUCUGUCACCCAGGCUGGAGUGCAGUGGUGCAAUGAUGGCUCACUGCAGCCUCGACCUGGGCUCAAGUGAUCCUCCACCUCAGCUUCCUGAGUAGCUGGGACCACAGAGUCAUGUGCUGUUCCUGGGGCUUGGAUGAUGUAGGGGAAGCAAGGUGAAAGUGGUAUCCCGUGGUUCCACGUUCUGUCCUGCUGUGGGGCUGUCCCUCACAUGCUUUCAGUGGCUGUUGCAGAGGAAGAGCCUCCGGAAAUCUGCGUGGGUAAAGUGAGCUCCCCGGGGGAACCGUCCUCCUCCCUUGAGCGCUGGUCUCAGCCUUAGAUCCAAGGACAGUCCAAGGAAGUCCUAAGACCAUGGAGUUGGUGAUCUGGGAUCUGGGUUUGCUGAUAUUUCUCACCGUGAAUCUCUUGGUGGUGUUUGUGGGCACGAGAGGGGCAGAGAAUGGAGAGUGAGGCUACCACAUGAAGCGUCACCAGAGCUGCUCCCUGCUGCCUGCUCAGAGCACCCCGGAUCCACUGUUCAAUCUGCACAAGAUUCGGGGUCCAGACAUGGGAGACUUCAGCUGCCUCAGAGGACCGUGGACAGGGAAGGCCAGCCUCGCAUCCCUCUGUCCAUGCCUGGAAUGACUUUAAUAACCAAGAGUUUUAUUUUUGAAUUUGUAGCUGUCGUUCACUUUUUACCCACCCAUUCAAUAAACCUUACAGAAUUGCUCCA